rnacentral:rRNA from 1 species
CAGUAGCCGCGGGAAUACGUAGGGUGCGAGCGUUGUCCAGAAUUACUGGGCGUAAAGAGCUCGUAGGCGGUUUGUCACGUCGUCUGUGAAAUCCUAGGGCUUAACCCUGGACGUGCAGGCGAUACGGGCUGACUUGAGUACUACAGGGGAGACUGGAAUUUCUGGUGUAGCGGUGGAAUGCACAGAUAUCAGGAAGAACACCGAUGGCGAAGGCAGGUCUCUGGGUAGUAACUGACGCUGAGGAGCGAAAGCAUGGGUAGCGAACAGGAUUAGAUACCCGUGUAGUCCCUGUCUCUUAUAC